CUUCAGUGUCACACAUGUGUUGGAAUGCACCACAAUGCAAGUCGGGAGAUGACCGUGUAGAUUGCGUUGUAUCUGUCUUCUCUUCUUUUAAACGUAAUGUCCGACAGGUUGUGACCUAUUUUAUAUGGAAUGUUUAAUGUUGUGCCUUUUUUAAAUAAGGAUGUUCAUAACACAUUGUGCCUUGUUAGCGUAAUGCAGACAUUGUCUCAUAAGCUGCAAACAUGUUUUGAAUUUUUUCACUACAAAAAAUGUCAUUGCAAAAGUUUUAUUUCAUUAUCAAUGCUGCAAUUGUUUAUGAUCUCAUUAUUUUAUACUACAAUAAACUCAGGAAACAAUUAUUGUAUUCAAUAUGGGUAUGUGUUUCGCAAACUGUCCUUACACAAAUUGCUAACUAAAGGCUAACUACAUACAUUUGAGGAAGCACAGCGAAGACAUCAAUUCAUAAUACACUUCUUGAGAACCCCUAAUUUCCUUUCCCUGUUGGUGUUUAAUUGCAACCCUUAAAGUUGUAUGCAUGAAUCUAGGCGUAAUGUCCAUUGUAAGGACAUGAGCAUUGCGUGUUUUGGUGUUGUCCUACUGUUGCUAUUUGGAAGAAUGAAUGGGGAACUAUGUUUUAUGUUUUGGAAAAACUGGAAUCUUUGAAGGUGACGCGAAGGAAUGCCAUGUCAUCAUAUGGUGAGGACGGAUGCAGCGACUACUCUGUGUGAAGCUCAUAAGACCGUGGACAGGCUCCAGAUGCAGAGAGGGACGGCGUGCUCCGACUGUCACAUACAAUUUGCUUGUAUUUAGAGUUCUUAAAUCUGGAGAUUUUUGGAGUAACACAAAGUUACAGCAGUCGACCCAUGCUGGUGAACCUGUUUGAUAAACAUCAGAAAGAAAGGCAUGUCAAGUAUUCACAAUACUGUAGAUCUGUGAAAGGUCAAUCCAAGUGUGUGGGUGUAUAUAUAUAUAUAUAUAUGUACACAUGCACAUACACAGAGGAGGAGGCUGUGUUUGGCACACUUUAGGUUAAGGAUCAGGGUGGUAACACGUCUAAGGUAUUCUCCAUUCUGUUGAGUUCUACCUGGUAUCUCUUGUUUUGAAAGCCUGAUUUUCAAGACUCGAUGGAGGAGCCCCUUGUAGGCCCAAAGCCAGAGGGGAGGCCCCUGAAGGGCCAUCACCGAUGGAAGACAGACAAACAGGUCUGUGAGGUGGAGGACUUCAGGAGAAGGCUCAAGUACUUCUUCAUGAAUCCCUGUGAGAAAUACCGAGCCAGGGGCCGUAAACCAUGGAAACUAACAUUACAAAUUCUGAAAAUUGCAAUUAUCACAAUCCAGUUGGUCUCUUUUGGCCUGAGCAACGAAAUGAUGGUCAGCUUCAAAGAGGAAAGCCUGCUGACAUUCAAAAAUCUGUUUCUCAAAGGAUACAACGAUCAACAUCGUGGAAUACACACACUUUACACUAAAACAGACGUCUAUGACCAUAUUCACUAUGCCAUUGAUAGGUACAUGAAUCUUGAGAAUCUCACAGUAGGAAAUCAUGCCUAUGAGAGGGUGGAUGGCCUGUACACUCCUCUAUCUCUGUGUAAAGAGUUCUACAGGAACAGCAGCAUCUUCCCAGGAAAUGAGACCUUUGACAUUGAUCCACAUGUGGAAAAAGUUUGUAUAGCCAUAUAUCCUACAAUUGAUACUGAAAGUUGGCCAAGACGUCUGACCUUCUCUAUAGAUUUCAAAAGGCUGCUGUCAGUAAACAUCUACCUCAAACUGAGAGCCAUCAAUCUGCAGACUGUGCGGCACAAUGAACUUCCGGACUGUUAUCUGUUCAAUAUAACGAUCAUAUUUAACAACCACGCCCACAGCGGAAGAAUAAAAACUGAAAUAAUCAAUGAUGUUGGAAUUUACGAAUGCAAAGACUGGAAUGUAGCAGACACUUCUGGGAAGAAUGACUACAUGCUCUUAAUGCUGGAUUCUCUGGUCAUCAUUGCCUGCAUCACCUCUCUCAUCCUCUGCUCACGCUCCGUUAAAAAUGGCAUCCAACUCCAGUUUGAGUAUAAUACGUUCUUCCAAACCUACUUCAGUAAGCCUGUGCCCUGGGCAGAUCGCAUGGAGUUUGUAAAUGGAUGGUACAUCCUCAUCAUUGUGAGUGAUACCCUUACCAUUGCAGGGUCCAUCCUGAAAAUAGGAAUUCAGACCAAGUUCCUGACCAACUAUGACGUGUGCAGUAUUUUGCUCGGGACCGCCACCAUGCUGGUCUGGGUCGGGGUCAUUCGCUACCUCGGUUUCUUCAAGAAGUACAACAUCCUCAUCCUGACCCUGAGAGCAGCCUUCCCCAACGUGAUCCGCUUCUGCUGCUGCGCCGCCAUGAUUUACCUGGGAUACUGUUUCUGUGGCUGGAUCGUGCUCGGCCCCUACCAUGACAAGUUCCGGACCUUGGACAAGGUGACAGAGUGUCUCUUCUCGCUCAUCAACGGGGACGACAUGUACGCUACCUUCAAAGCCGUGAGGGACAAGACGUACAUGGUGUGGCUGUUCAGCCGGGUCUACCUCUACUCCUUCAUCUCCCUCUUCAUCUACAUGGUGCUCAGCCUCUUCAUCGCCCUCAUCACCGACACCUAUGAGACCAUCAAGAGUUGCCAAGAAGACAAGGUGCCAGUGUCUGAGCUCCAGGCCUUUAUAGCAGAAUGCAGAGACCAUCCUGAAUCCGGGCGCUAUCUGACUGAUAACCAGACCGCUUCCUGCUGUGGCUGCUUUGGAUGAACUGUACUCCGAGGCCCUUCUCAGAGAUUACAAUUAUUGUAUUUGCCUUGGUUCAAGCAAGUUGUCGUCAUCAAAUAGCAAACACAUACCCGUUGCCUAACACUUACAUUUAACUAAACAUUUGAUUUGUGUUACACAAAUUAUCAAUUGUCAUUGUAAGCUAUAAGAAUGGUGCUAGAUAAUCUUUGGAUAAAUUAUGAGCAGUAUGUAUUAUUAUGUAUAUAUUAUUAGAUAUGUUCAUGACAAUUUAUAUUGAUGACCAAUAGGCGUUUGUGUAUUUUUUUAGUAGUGAUGAAAGUUACGUAAAAAAGUGACAUAUUUUACUAGCACACAUUUGCACAAAUAAAACUGACGUUCGGGCCACGCAAGUUAUUCUUUCUUAAUGCAAAGGAGUCGCAAAAGACUUGAGGCAGUGUCAGUAAAGUCGAGAACAACCUGUGUGUCUUUGUCCCAUAACGUAACACCUGAGGGCGCUCCACAUUUGCAUAAUCCUCUCGGUUGGUUCGCAUCCAAUGUGCUGUUCAGAUAUUGGUUGCUUGACAACAUGGCCUCCAAUGACAGAAGUGUUUAGAUGGACGCCGACACGGGAAUACACUUAAAAACAAUCAGCGCUCUGCACCUUCAUGAUGUUUGCCGAACGAGUUAAGGUAAAACACGGAGUUUAUGUUGCGGUCUCAUGACAGUGUCAAAUGAUCUGCGACACAGUGCGAGUUGUGUGGCUGUGAUUAAGGGACGGCAGGGCUCUGAUCCAGCGAGUGCCUCCAAUCUGCUGCAUAGCUCUUAAUCCACCCCCAAGAUCAGACUUAACUGAUGACCGCGCCUGUGUCCUACACUUCUUUGAUAUGGGAGACUGGUCGAGGACUUCACCAUUAGGUGUAUCUAUGGAGAACUCUGAGAUCUCCAGUAUAUCACGGGUAACCCUCUCCUCGUCCAGACAAAACCACGAUUCACUGUAUUCCUCCUCUCUGCCGCUGUC